GGUGCCAGUAGAAAGGUUUCCAGCAGAUGGGACACCUUACACGGGCAACCCAACAAACACACGCGUGAUACGGCCCCCACUUUCAGAGCACGUGAUCAAUCAUCUGUCAAGAAGUCGAGCCACAAAUGCGAAACAUGUGUCACUACAGCGGGAUAUCUGGUAUAGGUGCUUCGUGGAAACCGAAUAAACCCUACAAGCCAUGAAAAUAGCGUGAACGUCAUCAUGGACAUGGGAGCUAGCCGCAAGCUGCGACUACCACCCCAGUAUGGACCUCUGCCCUAGAAGACUAGGAAGAUCGUGGCCCAGACAACUGCCGCAAUGAGUGCCCUUGUCACCUGCACCGACGUGUGCUGCAAAAACCAAGGAAGCCACCGAUUAUUCAUGGAUCACUGUUUGGAGAUCUGAUAAGCUGGCCGGAAGCCUACUCAAGAACCACUAUGUUUAACAAUUGAAACUGCGAAAAGCUGUAGUUUUGCUGCUUACAUUUUUUACAUCAUUACAGUACUUCCACAAACAUUCGCGAGCGUCAUGCUUAAGGAGCAAGCUGAAGUUCAAUGAGAAAACCGGGAUCUUCAGGGCAGAAAUGCACUGUUAUUUCAGCCACAUCGACCCGCACACGGCACAGAUGAAACCAUUUUUACUAAUCUGCGGUUUUUGAGCAAGUAGUUUACGCCGGAUUGAUAUGUAAAACGGCCAAUGCCAUUACGAAAUUCCUAACGGAAGCAACGGGUAUGAAAAAGACGAUUCCAAAGCGCACUCGAAAUAUUAUCGCCUGGCGUCCCACCAUGGUGAAAAAUUCAAGCACUAGGCUCCGACGAACUCCGGAAAACCACCAGAACAUUUGCGCGUGAAGGACAACUUAACAUGUUCUCUUCGAGGCAGCCUCAAAUUGCCUAAAUUGGUCGCGUCGUCUGAGAGGAGAUCCAGCAGCCAUUUGUCGUUACUGAAUUGCCGCAGCUGAAGCCUGGAGUGAUGGCAUGCCUCCGCCUUCCCACCCGCACCUUACGACUGCUCACUCUGCUGAAAUCCCGGAGAAGCCAGACACAUCCAUUGCUUAUACCCAUACCAUGAGAUGCGACUAAAACGUUGUGCAGUCAACUCUUUGCGUUCAUGGCAAGACGAAAGACGGCGUGAAAUUGCUGACUCUUUGGCUGCAACUGAAUGGAGACUCCGACGACUUUCUCGGUCGCUGUCGCCAAGGCACUGCCUCUCACUGGAGCACCGAGGAUAAACUGCGGCAAUACGUGGCCGAUGUGUGGGUCCGUAUCCUGCUAACAAAACACAGCAAACAACGGAGGUGCGGUUUCUGUUCAUUGAAGUGCCAAAGGUCCCCCGCCGCCAAAGUGAAAUCAGUCUCUACGACAAAGAAACGACGCGCUGCAAUUUCGACGAAGCUCCGAAGCAAAAACCACGCUGCCUAAAGGAUACCUGACGAUGCCACGAAACAGUGGGACAGUGCCAUGGAGCCAUGAUCAGACACCUCGAAAUAACUAAGACUAUGAACUGUCAACAUCGAUGCUGUCGCCGCGCAGAGGCCACUUUAGUGGACCGAGGACCCGACUACUCCAUCAGGAAUUAAUCCUUAACCACGCAGUCGAUGACAGCUAUGACUACAUGGCAAGGGCCCCAAAUCCGAGCAGCUGGAGGUCACCUGACAAGGACGACUGUUAUGAGCACGUACGUCGAACAGCAGACGUACGUCGCAGGAUCACAAUUAGCCCGCCUACCCAUCAAGCACCAGCCUAGGACAGUCAGACAGCGCUACAAUCUUCGACGGCACUUCGUAACAUACCAGGCCGGCAACUAUGAUUGGGUUUGCAACCCUAUAAACCGACGUGGACUGAGUGAAAUGCUACUUAAUUUUGGACUCCACACGAAAAUUCAGCGUAUGUGAGCACGGCCCGUAAGCCCGUAACAUGCCUGUGAGUAGUCCAAAUUCUGUGCCAGUAAGCGGUUUUACCUUAGCUAACCAAAUAUCAUUGCACUGCUUUAAUUUUCUUUACUACGUGUUCUUUUGGUCUUCGCUCUCGUUUGGUGCUCGUAGCCCUGGUACGAUGUAUUUAAUGUAGGCGUAUUGACACGUAUGCCGAUCCGUCGCUCGAAGUCGUCGCUGUCACGUACAAAAUCGCGCUCACGGGGUUUAGCCUUUAAGUUAUCGCUCCGCGAAUGCCGUAUCGGAACCUUCUGGGUCAUUUUCCCUGAUUUUGUCUGCUGUCUAUGUUGUGCUGCAACCUUGUGUAUUCAGUUUGCAUACAUGACGAGAAUGCUGUUCAACAUUCUGUAACACGCUUGAGCCCAUAGAAUUAGUCUGGAAUCGUUGACUAAACAGUUAUAAAUAACUGACUCGCUUGAGCCGCAGAUGAGUUUUCUGACUGUGUAGGAAUGUACUAACCGUUAUCAUUCAGCCCGCUCGAAGCUUGUUUUGUGGACACAGUUUCGCUAAAUAAAGUUGGUUUCGCGACUCCCA